rnacentral:rRNA from 1 species
UACAAUGGCGUAAACAAAGGGAAGCGAGACGGUGACGUUAAGCAAAUCCCAGAAAUAACGUCCCAGUUCGGAUUGUAGUCUGCAACCCGGCUACAUGAAGCUGGAAUCGCUAGUAAUCGCGGAUCAGAAUGCCGCGGUGAAUACGUUCCCGGGUCUUGUACACACCGCCCGUCACACCAUGGGAGUCGGAAAUGCCCGAAGUCAGUGACCUAACCGAAAGGAGGGAGCUGCCGAAGGUGGAGCCGGUAACUGGGGUGAAGUCGUAACAAGGUAAC